CCUACGGGAGGCAGCAGUGGGGAAUAUUGGACAAUGGGCGAAAGCCUGAUCCAGCAAUGCCGCGUGAGUGAUGAAGGCCUUAGGGUUGUAAAGCUCUUUUACCCGAGAUGAUAAUGACAGUAUCGGGAGAAUAAGCUCCGGCUAACUCCGUGCCAGCAGCCGCGGUAAUACGGAGGGAGCUAGCGUUGUUCGGAAUUACUGGGCGUAAAGCGCACGUAGGCGGCUUUUUAAGUCAGGGGUGAAAUCCCGGGGCUCAACCCCGGAACUGCCCUUGAAACUGGGAAGCUAGAAUCUUGGAGAGGCGAGUGGAAUUCCGAGUGUAGAGGUGAAAUUCGUAGAUAUUCGGAAGAACACCAGUGGCGAAGGCGACUCGCUGGACAAGUAUUGACGCUGAGGUGCGAAAGCGUGGGGAGCAAACAGGAUUAGGUACCCUGGUAGUCCACGCCGUAAACGAUGAUAACUAGCUGUCCGGGUUCAUGGAACUUGGGUGGCGCAGCUAACGCAUUAAGUUAUCCGCCUGGGGAGUACGGUCGCAAGAUUAAAACUUAAAGGAAUUGACGG
rnacentral:rRNA from 1 species